UGGGGAAUAUUGGACAAUGGGCGAAAGCCUGAUCCAGCCAUGCCGCGUGUGUGAAGAAGGUCUUCGGAUUGUAAAGCACUUUAAGUUGGGAGGAAGGGCAUUAACCUAAUACGUUAGUGUUUUGACGUUACCGACAGAAUAAGCACCGGCUAACUCUGUGCCAGCAGCCGCGGUAAUACAGAGGGUGCAAGCGUUAAUCGGAAUUACUGGGCGUAAAGCGCGCGAAGGGGGUGUGUUAAGUUGGAUGUGAAAGCCCCGGGCUCAACCUGGGAACUGCAUCCAAAACUGGCAAGCUAGAGUACGGUAGAGGGUGGUGGAAUUUCCUGUGUAGCGGUGAAAUGCGUAGAUAUAGGAAGGAACACCAGUGGCGAAGGCGACCACCUGGACUGAUACUGACACUGAGGUGCGAAAGCGUGGGGAGCAAACA
rnacentral:rRNA from 1 species